rnacentral:rRNA from 1 species
CCUACGGGGGACAGCAGUGAGGAAUAUUGGUCACUGGGCGCGAUCCUGAACCAGCCAAGCCGCGUGAGGGAAGACGGCCCUAUGUGUUGUAAACCUCUUUUGUCAGAGAACAAAACCCGGGACGUGUCCCGUACUGCGUGUAUCUGAAGAAAAAGCAUCGGCUACCUCCGUGCCCGCAGCCGCGGUAAUACGGAGGAUGCGAGCGUUAUCCGGAUUUAUUGGGUUUAAAGGGUGCGUGGGCGGUCCGUUAAGUCCGCGUUAAAAUUGCGGGGCUCAACCCCGUCGUGCCGUUGAAACUGGCAGACUUGAGUAGGUGAGAAGUACGCGGAAUGCGCGGUGUAGCGGUGAAAUGCAUAGAUAUCGCGCAGAACUCCGAUUGCGAAGGCAGCGUACCGGCGCCAGACUGACGCUGAGGCACGAAAGCGUGGGGAUCGAACAGGAUUAGAUACCCUAGUAGUC